GACGAACGCUGGCGGCGUGCCUAAUACAUGCAAGUCGAGCGGAAAGGCCCUUCGGGGUACUCGAGCGGCGAACGGGCGAGUAACACGUGAGUAACCUGCUCCAGACUUUGGGAUAACCCUCGGAAAUGGGGGCUAAUUCCGGAUACGCCACAGCUUUGCUUGGGGUCUGUGUGGAAAGUUUUUCGGUGUGGGAUGGGCUCGUGGCCUAUCAGCUUGUUGGUGGGGUGAUGGCCUACCAAGGCGACGACGGGUAGCCGGCCUGGGAGGGCGACCGGCCACACUGGGACUGAGACACGGCCCAGACUGCAACGGGAGGCAGCAGUGGAGAAUAUUACACAAUGGGCGGGAGCCUGAUGCGGAGACGCCGCGUGAGGAAUGACGGCCUUCGGGUUGUAAACCUCUGUCAGCAGGGACGAGGCGUAAGUGACGGUACCUGCAGAAGAAGCGCCGGCCAACUACGUG
rnacentral:rRNA from 1 species